CUCCGUAGCGGUGGUUCCAUGUUUGAUUGUAGAACUCCUCAAUAACCUGCAGGGAGAAGGGCCUGGGUAGGUGGCUACUGUCUCACCAUAUCGCCAGGGCUUGGCUCUGCUGCAAACGUCCUCACAGUGCUCUCCAGCCAGGCCCCUUCUCCGCUUUACAUAGGUUCAGUUUCUCCGGACGAAAAGAGGACUGGGCUCUCCCCCUCUCCUAAGGUGGUCAAGACUCUGAGGAUGGUGGCCAAGGAGGACAGAGCAGCAAGGCACAGGGAAGAAAAUGCUCCUUCUGCCUAUCUGCCCCCUUCCAGAUGGCUCUCAACAUACUCUAGGCCACAGCUGUAGGCCCUGGGCCCUGCCCCGACCCCCUGCUGAGGAGGAAGCACAGCUAGGCAGACAGGUUAUGCAUCCUGCGAGCCUGACGAAGUGCGCACUCACUGACUCUGCAGUUUGAGCCUGCAGGACUAAGGACACGCUCUAAAGCACACUGUCACUUCUGUCUUCCAGGCCCAGUUCCCCUGUGGCUGGCUGGAAAUGCCACCUGAAGAAGCCACCGCCUCUUUUCUUUUCCAGGUGCUCAGCUGAUGAUCAGGGAAAGGCCCCAGGGUCUCAGGAACUCACAGCAACCCUCCAGCCUCAGCCUUUUGAAUGUUAGGAUUAUAAAUGUGCACACGGCAAGCUCCUGAGCAUGGAACUGCACAUCGUCUCUUCACAGCCAUUCCAUUUCCAGUCCUGAUCUACACCCUCAAGUGCAGCAGAAAGGAAUAGGUGCAGAAAGGAAAGCUGACUGUGGGCACUCACUGUGAGCAGCCGUGAGCUCCAACCGCCUCUUCUCUAAUGCCGACUUCAGCAUUGUGCUUAUGCAUCACUUAAAGGGGGCCCAUUCUGAGAAAUGUGUUAUUAGGUGAUUCCACUGUACGAACAUCAGAGUGCAUUUGGAAUAAAACUAAAUGCUGUGGGCCACUCAGGGCUCUUGAUGCAAUUAAGGGAUGGCAAACAUGAGACACGCCAGGAUGCUGGCAUGUAACCCAGAAGGGUGUUUCAGGGCAAACUGUUCUAGUAUGCAGAAGGAACUCACUGGGAAAUUAUGAUAAAAAUAUACCCAAUAAACUAAUAAUGGCUAUGUCUAUUACCAUCUUAUAAUUAUUAAAAGUUUUAUUCUAAA